rnacentral:lncRNA from 1 species
ACACUCCCUUCGAAGACCCGAUAACAGUAUAGUCUUCACGCCUUUGGAAUAGGUAGCGAGCGAACAACUUCCUUGCCUAUAGUGACCAUCAGCGUCGUCGAAGGAAGAUCAAUCCGAAUGGACAUGAAUAGUUCAAAGUCCCCAUCCUCUUUCACAUCAACAGGGGGAGUCGAUAUGUCUCCAUCCGCCUUCAUCCAAUCCGGAAAUUCGUAGGUCAAAGUUACGGCUGUUUCCAAACCCACACUGUAGCGUGUUCUCACAAGAUCCAUGAGACUUACGUAAGUUUGGUUCUCGUGAACCACGAUUUCGUAUUUACGCUCUGUUGGAUCUUCCAAGAACAGCCACCCACGCUGUCCAACUUGCUCCCACACACCGACGACAAGCUUAACAAACU